rnacentral:rRNA from 1 species
CGUAUCACUUAAAGCGAUUCAGCGGGUUACGAUUGACGGAGCGAAGCGACGUCAAAGCGUAUACAAAGUCGAGUCGGUUUAAGGAUACGUUCGUUGGGUAGGGGAGCGUUCUGUAAGCCCGUGAAGGUGGCCUGUGAGGGUUGCUGGAGGUAUCAGAAGUGCGAAUGCUGACAUAAGUAACGAUAAAGCGGGUGAAAAGCCCGCUCGCCGGAAGACCAAGGGUUCCUGUCCAACGUUAAUCGGGGCAGGGUGAGUCGACCCCUAAGGCGAGGCCGAAAGGCGUAGUCGAUGGGAAACGGGUUAAUAUUCCCGUACUUGGUGUUACUGCGAAGGGGGGACGGAGAAGGCUAUGUUGGCCGGGCGACGGUUGUCCCGGUUUAAGCGUGUAGGUGUGUGUUCCAGGUAAAUCCGGUUCACUUUAACACUGAGGCGUGAUGACGAGGCACUACGGUGCUGAAGCAACAAAUGCCCUGCUUCCAGGAAAAGCCUCUAAGCAUCAGGUAACAUCAAAUCGUACCCCAAACCGACACAGGUGGUCAGGUAGAGAAUACCAAGGCGCUUGAGAGAACUCGGGUGAAGGAACUAGGCAAAAUGGUGCCGUAACUUCGGGAGAAGGCACGCUGACACGUAGGUGAAGUGAUUUACUCACGGAGCUGAAGUCAGUCGAAGAUACCAGCUGGCUGCAACUGUUUAUUAAAAACACAGCACUGUGCAAACACGAAAGUGGACGUAUACGGUGUGACGCCUGCCCGGUGCCGGAAGGUUAAUUGAUGGGGUCAGCGCAAGCGAAGCUCCUGAUCGAAGCCCCGGUAAACGGCGGCCGUAACUAUAACGGUCCUAAGGUAGCGAAAUUCCUUGUCGGGUAAGUUCCGACCUGCACGAAUGGCGUAAUGAUGGCCAGGCUGUCUCCACCCGAGACUCAGUGAAAUUGAACUCGCUGUGAAGAUGCAGUGUACCCGCGGCAAGACGGAAAGACCCCGUGAACCUUUACUAUAGCUUGACACUGAACAUUGAGCCUUGAUGUGUAGGAUAGGUGGGAGGCUUUGAAGUGUGGACGCCAGUCUGCAUGGAGCCGACCUUGAAAUACCACCCUUUAAUGUUUGAUGUUCUAACGUGGACCCGUAAUCCGGGUUGCGGACAGUGUCUGGUGGGUAGUUUGACUGGGGCGGUCUCCUCCUAAAGAGUAACGGAGGAGCACGAAGGUUGGCUAAUCCUGGUCGGACAUCAGGAGGUUAGUGCAAUGGCAUAAGCCAGCUUGACUGCGAGCGUGACGGCGCGAGCAGGUGCGAAAGCAGGUCAUAGUGAUCCGGUGGUUCUGAAUGGAAGGGCCAUCGCUCAACGGAUAAAAGGUACUCCGGGGAUAACAGGCUGAUACCGCCCAAGAGUUCAUAUCGACGGCGGUGUUUGGCACCUCGAUGUCGGCUCAUCACAUCCUGGGGCUGAAGUAGGUCCCAAGGGUAUGGCUGUUCGCCAUUUAAAGUGGUACGCGAGCUGGGUUUAGAACGUCGUGAGACAGUUCGGUCCCUAUCUGCCGUGGGCGCUGGAGAACUGAGGGGGGCUGCUCCUAGUACGAGAGGACCGGAGUGGACGCAUCACUGGUGUUCGGGUUGUCAUGCCAAUGGCACUGCCCGGUAGCUAAAUGCGGAAGAGAUAAGUGCUGAAAGCAUCUAAGCACGAAACUUGCCCCGAGAUGAGUUCUCCCUGAGACUUAGAGUCUCCUGAAGGAACGUUGAAGACGACGACGUUGAUAGGCCGGGUGUGUAAGCGCAGCGAUGCGUUGAGCUAACCGGUACUAAUGAACCGUGAGGCUUAACCUUACAACGCCGAAG